rnacentral:rRNA from 1 species
GAUGAACGCUGGCGGCGUGCUUAACACAUGCAAGUCGAACGAAGCAUUUAGGACAGAUUACUUCGGUUUGAAGUUCUUUAUGACUGAGUGGCGGACGGGUGAGUAACGCGUGGGUAACCUGCCUUGUACUGGGGGAUAGCAGCUGGAAACGGCUGGUAAUACCGCAUAAGCGCACAAUGUUGCAUGACAUGGUGUGAAAAACUCCGGUGGGAUAAGAUGGACCCGCGUCUGAUUAGCUAGUUGGUGAGAUAACAGCCCACCAAGGCGACGAUCAGUAGCCGAGAUGAGAGGGGGACCGGCCACAUUGGGACUGAGACACGGCCCAGACUCCUACGGGAGUCAGCAGUGGGGAAUAUUGCACAAUGGAGGAAACUCUGAUGCAGCGACGCCGCGUGAGUGAAGAAGUAAUUCGUUAUGUAAAGCUCUAUCAGCAGGGAAGAUAGUGACGGUACCUGACUAAGAAGCUCCGGCUAAAUACGUG